GGGGAUGAUCGGUUUCGACAUUGUUCUCAACUGUGACGGGAAGCGGGUCGAGGAUGCAGGGUUAUCUCGAAAACGCUCCCUGCAAAACCAUAGGUGCCAACGAAAAGCGCACCGACUUCGCCCUCGCUGCUUAAGCGAGCCUGAAGUCCGUCAGAUCUGGGUCGCUCUCGCCCAGAACCCUGGCGUCGUUUUGAGAGCUUGCUGCACGGCUGCGUCACAGGACCGUGCGGGACUUGCACUGUGACUGGGCCUGUCGUCUUAGAUGUCUGUGACAAAAGGCGGGGCCGAGCAGAACGCACAACCACAGACUGCACCCGGAGAAGCCUCACUGUGAGCCGAUGGACGGGGGUUCGAUUCCCCCCAUCUCCACUU
rnacentral:tmRNA from 1 species